UCAAGCUACAAAGAGUGCAUGAUGAAUGCCUUGGUGCCAAUAGGCGAUGAAGGACGUGGUAAGCUGCGAUAAGCUACGGAGAGCGGCAAACACGCUUUGACCCGUAGAUUUCCGAAUGGGGUAACCCGACUGGAGUCAUGUCCAGUCCCCGCCGUCUGAAUACAUAGGGCGGUUGGAGCGAUACCUGGUGAAGUGAAACAUCUCAGUAACCAGAGGAAAAGAAAGUGAAACGAUUCCGUAAGUAGUGGCGAGCGAAAGCGGAACAGCCCAAACCGGGGGACUUGUCCCCCGGGGUUGUAGGACCCCGAUAUGGUAGUUCAGAGAUUAGGUGAAGCCGAUGGAAACCGGCUCCCCAGAGGGUGAGAGGCCCGUAACCGAAAAUCCGAGAACGCCUAGGGAGUUCCUGAGUAAUGCGAUGCACGUGAAACUUCGCAUGAAUCUGUGCCGACCACGGCAUAAGGCUAAAUACUAAUUGGCGACCGAUAGUGAACUAGUACCGCGAGGGAAAGGUGAAAAGAACCGCUGCGAGCGGAGUGAAAUAGAACCUGAAAUCAUGCAUUUACAAGGUGUCAAAGUCCGGCAACGGACGAUGGCGUGCCUUUUGCUUAAUGAGUCUGCGAGUUAUUGUUUGUGGCAAGCCUAAGCCCUUCCGGGGCGGAGGCGAAGCGAAAGCGAGUCCGAAAUGGGCGUUUAGUCGCAGGCAGUAGACCCGAAGCCGAGGUGAUCUACCCAUGGCCAGGAUGAAGGUGCAGUAACAUGCACUGAAGGUCCGAACCGAUGGACGUUGAAAAGUCCCCGGAUGAGCUGUGGGUAGGAGCGAAAGACUAAUCAAACCCGGUGAUAGCUGGUUCUCUCCGAAAUAGCUUGAGGGCUAGCCUCGUGUGCUGAUGUGUGGAGGUAGAGCACUGGAUGAACUAGGGGCCAUACCCGGCUACCGAAUUCAAUCAAACUCCGAAUGCCACACAAUGAAACACGGGAGUCAGACAGUGGGGGAUAAGCUUCAUUGUCGAAAGGGAAACAACCCAGCUCCGCAGCUAAGGUGCCUAAAUAACGUUUAGUGGAAAGGAUGUGAGGUUACUUAAACAGUGAGGAUGUUGGCUUAGAGGCAGCCACCAUUUAAACAGUGCGUAAUAGCUGACUCAUCGAGUGAUCUCGCGCCGAAAAUGAUUGGCGAUAAGCGUUAUACCGAAGCUCGGGAUGUUCGUGCGGUUCGCCGCGCGGGCGUGGUAGGAGAGCGUUCUUUGUGCGUCGAAGCGGAAGGGUAACCAACCGUGGAGUGCAAAGAAGUGAGGAUGCAGACAUGAGUAGCGAUAAGACAGGUGAAAUUCCUGUCCGCCGUAAACCCAAGGUUUCCUGGGGAAGGUUCGUCCUCCCAGGGUUAGUCGGGACCUAAGCUGAUGCCGAGAGGCGUAAGCGAUGGAUAGCAGGUUUAAUAUUCCUGCACCGGCUGAAUUUAAGCCAUCAGGGGACGUUUUUGUGGAGCCAGUCUGCCGACUGAUAGUGGCAGUCCGUCGCAAGGCGGGACGUGGAGUCUUCGGACAAAGCGGAUCUGGCAAAACAAGAGCCAAGAAAAGCCUGAUGGUGUUCGUUCGGCCGCCCGUACCCUAAACCGACACAGGUGGGUGGGUAGAAUAUACCAAGGCGCGUGAGUGAAACCUCGUUAAGGAACUCGGCAAUCUAGCCCCGUAACUUAGGAAUAAGGGGUGCCUGCUUCGGCAGGCCGCAGUGAAAGGGGUCAACCGACUGUUUAACAAAAACACAGCACUCUGCCAAGUCGCAAGACCAAGUAUAGGGUGUGACACGUGACCAAUGCCGAAAGAUUACGGUAAGAGGUUAGCCGCAAGGCGAAGCUUCGAGCCCAAGUCCCGGUGAAUGUCGGCCGUAACUAUAACGGUCCUAAGGUAGCGAAAUUCCUUGUCGGGUAAGUUCCGACCUGCACGAAUCGUGUAACGAGUUGACCGCUGUCUCAACGAGGAGCUCAGCGAAGUUGUAACGGCGGUGAAGAUGCCGCCUACCCGCAGUAGGACGGAAAGACCCUAUGCACCUUUACUGUACGCUGUUACUGGUUUUUCGAUUUUAAUGCUUAGCGUAAGUGGAAGACGUUGACCCAACCCUUGCGGGGGUUGGCGAGUCGCCAAUGAAACACCACCCUUUGAAAUUGGAAAAUCUAACCCCGAGCCGCCAUACGGCCGGGAGACACUGGCAGCCGGUCAGUUUUACUGGGGCGGUAUCCUCCCAAAGAGUAACGGAGGAGUACGAAGGUUGGCUCAUCCUGGUUGGCAAUCAGGUGACGAGUAUAUGGAUAUAUGCCAGCUUUACUGUGAGACACACACGUCGAGCAGUUACGAAAGUAGGUCCAAGUGAUCCGGUGGUUGAAUGUGGAAUUGCCAUCGCUCAACGGACAAAAGGUACGCUAGGGAUAACAGGCUGAUCCUGCCCAAGAGCUCAUAUCGACGGCAGGGUUUGGCACCUCGAUGUCGGCUCAUCACAUCCUGGGGCUGGAGAAGGUCCCAAGGGUCCGGCUGUUCGCCGGUUAAAGUGGUACGCGAGCUGGGUUCAGAACGUCGCGAGACAGUUCGGUCCUUAUCCACUGUGGGCGCAGGAGAAUUGAGGGGUUCACACCUUAGUACGAGAGGACCGGGUGUGACGAACCUCUGGUGUUCCAGUUGUCGUGUCAACGGCAUUGCUGGGUAGCUAUGUUCGGAAAGGAUAAGCGCUGAAAGCAUCUAAGCGCCAAGCCUAUCCCAAGAUGAAUUCUCCCUGAAGAUCCGUGGUAGACCACCACGUUGAUAGGUUGCGGGUGCAAGCACAGUAAUGUGUUCAGCUCAGCAAUACUAAUGAUCGUCCGGCUUGGUCAU
rnacentral:rRNA from 1 species